UAAUAAUGCAAUGAGCUAUAAUAAUAAAAUGAGCUGUAAUAAUACACUGAGCUGUAAUAAUACAAUGAGCUGUAAUAAUGCAAUGAGCCGUAAUAAUACAAUGAGCUGUAUUGAUACAAUAAUCUGUAAUAAUACAAUGAGCUGUAAUGAUACAAUAAGCUGUAAUGAUACAAUAUGGUGUAAUAAUACAAUGAGCUGUAAUGAUACAAUAAGCUGUAACAAUACAAUAAGCUGUAAUAAUACAAUAUGGUGUAAUAAUACAAUGAGCUGUAAUAAUGCAAUGAGCAGUAAUAAUGCAAUGAGCUGUAAUGAUACAAUAAGCUGUAAUGAUAGAAUAUGGUGUAAUAAUACAGUGAGCUGUAAUGAUACAAUAAGCUGUGGUUUGAUGGUACUUACCAUGUCCCUUUAAGCAAUGUACUCUAGUUGUAAGUUUUGUUCAUAACAAAUCCACAAGAUAUUUAGAGAGAAACUGUUAUGUCUGUCUUAUUUUAAUGUUCUGUAUAGUUAUUCCUAUGAAUUACAUAUUUGAGUAUGUGACAAUGUAAACGUUAUUUCAAUACCAUGUGUAAAUUCUCCCAGUAUUAUUACCAGUACACCACCAGCCGCCAUCUUGUCUCCCUAAUCCUGUAUUUCUGGGCAGGACGAGGACAUGAUACAUGUCUAAGUGUAAUCAAUGCAGGAAGCAGAAUAGUGCUGGAGAGACAGGAAGAUAUUGCAAUGCGUGUCAGGUCCUCUGUAAGGCUCCGAGGCAUUGCAUGACUUGCUCUGGGUACACAUUACCUUUCAGAGAACAACCGAUUUGGUAGUUGUUGAGAUAACCUUGUCUGACCGACGUAAUCUGCAACAGGUCACAUCUUGGAUAUGCUGGGAUACAUUGUGUUUAUGAAGGAUGUAUUGUGUGUGUGUGAAGGAUGUAUUGUGUGUGAAGGAUGUAGUGUGUGUGUAGGGGUACAGUGUAUGCGCGAAGGGUACAGUCUGUGCACGAGGGGUACAGUGUGUGGGGGGUCAGGUUGUGUGAGGGUUAGUGUGUGUGUAUGUGGGGCAGUUUGUGAGUAAGGGAUACAAUGUGUGUGUAGGGGCACAGUGUGGGAGGGGGGACAGCACUAAUCCCUGGUGGUCCGGUGGAGAAGCUCUGGCAGUCCUAGUGGUGAGAGUGAACUCUAUCCUGCAGCUCAGGCUAGAGUUCACUGUUGCGAGGUUUGGAGCGUUGCCAUGGUAACCAGGGCAAUGCUCCAAGCUCGGGAGAGGAGAACCCGGCGGAGCUGCAGGUUACAGCUGCAGCUCCCCUGCCGGCUGCCAGCUGUACAGUGCCAGCAGGCCGGUGAAGGUGAUCACUGAUCUCCCCUCUGGUCCAGCAGAGCCGGCAGGGGAGAGGGAGGCACGGUUCCAGGUGCUAUAAUCAUAGCACCAGGAACAUAUCUUUUAUAUUUUGUGCCCGUCGCUGCAUCCUAUUUUGGGAACCGUUGGGCCAGAGCCUGUUUGUCACUUGCAGCCUUGAGUGCCAUAGGUUGCUGACCCCUGUUCUAAACUAUAUUUUAGUUGUAUAAAUUGUUAUUAGUAAGUCACCUAGAAUUUCUCAGAGAAGCCCCGCACCUGGCCACACACCCACUCACACCCCUAAAUUGAAAGUGCCCGUCUUUGUAUAUUAUACAGGGUUAAUCACAAAAUUGUCUGGACUUCAAAGUACAAUUCAGAUUUCAGGCCAUAAUUCCUCAAUUUAGAGAAUUUCUGGCUUAAAAACUUUCAGUUUAACAUCAUAUUGAAUUCCAGACAAUUCUCAUUUCAGUGGUUAACUUUAAAUAAUAUGUUUCAAAGAACACAAUUUAGUGAGUGUUUAAUAACUGAGAAUAUCCAUUCAGUGUAUGUUAGAAAGGGGUUAUUUUCGGACUUGUAAAUGGUUUAAGGAAUGUUGCAUUUCAGUCGACAGUUUCAGUGUAACGCGAUAGGCCCACAUUUUUUCGUGACAUAAUUCUUUUCAAAAUCCUAACGUCAAAUUGCAAGUGUUCUUUAAUGGUUUCUGCUCCUGGAAAUGUGAAACCAAUGGAUUAAAUCAGUUUUAAUUAAUUUUAGUCUUCCCCAUUUGUAGCCAGCUUCUGCUACUGAAAAUGUCUAGAGACACCAUCAGCCCCUAUCCUCACACUUACCUGCUACGUGUGACCUAAGUAUUUACCUAGUUCUUUACAGACAACUCAGCCUUAAAGGAACACUGUAGUCACCUAAAUUACUUUAGCUAAGUAAAGGAGUUUUAGUGUAUAGCUCAAUUCACUGUCAUUUAGGAGUUAAAUCACUUUGUUUCUGUGUAUGCAGCCCUAGCCACACCUCCCCUGGCUAUGAUUGACAGAGCCUGCAUGAAAAAAAACAGAUGUAAUUUACCUUAAAUAAUUG
rnacentral:lncRNA from 1 species